CCGGUAGUUCAGCUGGUUAGAACGCUAGCCUGUCACGCUAGAGGUCGUGGGUUCGAACCCCAUCCG
rnacentral:tRNA from 2 species